rnacentral:rRNA from 1 species
AUGUGUGUUCCAAAAAAACAAGGUGGUAUGGGAUUCAGGGACUUGCAUUGCUUCAAUCUGGCCAUGUUGUCUAGGGAAUGUUGGCGCCUAAUUGCAGAACCCGAAUCUUUGCGUGCCAUGGUGUUGAAAGCCAAGUAUUUCGCUGAUGGGGAUUUAUUGAAUUGCCAACUGAAAAAAGGUAGUUCCUUUACUUGGCAAAGUUUGUGGUCAGGAAUGCAAACCAUUAAGAGGGGUUAUAUUUGGCCCAUGGGAGACAGUGAGAAAAUUAAUAUAUGGGAGGACCCAUGGGUCCCUAGUAGCCCAAACAGAAGUAUAGUUACACGAAGGGGAAACAUUGUGCUCACGAAAUUAUCUGAAUUGAUAGAUCAUGAAAACAGAGUUUGA